GAGAAGUGAGCAGGUGGAGAAGUUCCCAAAGGCAAUCAAUCAGUGUUGCGUUAAAAUGUAUAAAGUGCCUUCUAUAAAAUUAUACGUAGCAGCUGAUUGGUUAUCAUGGGCAACUUCUCCACUUGCUCACUUCUCCAUACUUUUCACUGCUUCAUGAUUAGACCCCAAGGCUUUUGGGCCCUUCAAGGACUAGUGAAUCAGAAGAAUCUGAUGUACGCAUAAUGCUGGCUUGCGUGCAGUGGUGCAAGUAGAAAAAAGGUCUUAUAGGUACUGUGUGCGUGCGCCAAAAAUGGGCGUGACCAAAUGGCACAUGGGGCGUGGCCAAUGAAAAUGGGGGCGUGAUACACAUAUGGGGGGGUCAAAUACACAUGACCCUAAUAGUGCCAGAUACACAAAUGACCCCCCAGUGCCAGAUAUACAUUGCCCCCACAGUGCCAGAAAUACAUUGCCCCACUGUGCCAGAUAUACAUUGCCCCCACUGUGCCAGAUAUACAUUGCCCCACUGUGCCAGAUAUACAUUGCCCCACGGUGCCAGAUAUACAUUGCCCCCACGGUGCCAGAUAUACAUUGCCCCCACUGUGCCAGAUAUACAUUGCCCCCACUGUGCCAGAUAUACAUUGCCCCACUGUGCCAGAUAUACAUUGCCCCACUGUGCCAGAUAUACAUUGCCCCACUGUGUCAGAUAUACAAUGCCCCACUGUGCCAGAUAAACAUUGCCCCCACGGUGCCAGAUAUACAUUGCCCCCACGGUGCCAGAUAUACAUUGCCCCCACGGUGCCAGAUAUGCAUUGCCCCCACGGUGCCAGAUAUACAUUGCCCCCACGGUGCCAGAUAUACAUUGCCCCCACGGUGCCAGAUAUACAUUGCCCCCACGGUGCCAGAUAUACAUUGCCCCCACGGUGCCAGAUAUACAUUGCCCCACUGUGUCAGAUAUACAAUGCCCCACUGUGCCAGAUAAACAUUGCCCCACUGUGCCAGAUAAACAUUGCCCCCACGGUGCCAGAUAUACAUUGCCCCCACGGUGCCAGAUAUACAUUGCCCCCACGGUGCCAGAUAUACAUUGCCCCCACUGUGCCAGAUAUACAUUGCCCCCACUGUGCCAGUUAUACAUUGCCCCCACAGUGCCAGAUAUACAUUGCCCCCACAGUGCCAGAUAUACAUUGCCCCCACAGUGCCAGAUAUACAUUGCCCCCACUGUGCCAGAUAUACAUUGCCCCCACUGUGCCAGAUAUACAUUGCCCCCACUGUGCCAGAAAUACAUUGCCCCACUGUGCCAGAUAUACAUUGCCCCCACUGUGCCAGAUAUACAUUGCCCCACUGUGCCAGAUAUACAUUGCCCCACGGUGCCAGAUAUACAUUGCCCCAUGGUGCCAGAUAUACAAUGCCCUACUGUGCCAGAUAAACAUUGCCCCACUGUGCCAGAUAAACAUUGCCCCACUGUGCCAGAUAAACAUUGCCCCACGGUGCCGGAUAUACAUUGCCCCCACGGUGCCAGAUAUACAUUGCCCCCACGGUGCCAGAUAUGCAUUGCCCCCACGGUGCCAGAUAUACAUUGCCCCCACGGUGCCAGAUAUACAUUGCCCCCACGGUGCCAGAUAUACAUUGCCCCCACGGUGCCAGAUAUAUAUUGCCCCCACUGUGCCAGAAAUACAUUGCCCCACUGUGCCAGAUAUACAUUGCCCCCACUGUGCCAGAUAUACAUUGCCCCACUGUGCCAGAUAUACAUUGCCCCACGGUGCCAGAUAUACAUUGCCCCACGGUGCCAGAUAUACAAUGCCCCACUGUGCCAGAUAAACAUUGCCCCACUGUGCCAGAUAAACAUUGCCCCACUGUGCCAGAUAAACAUUGCCCCACGGUGCCGGAUAUACAUUGCCCCCACGGUGCCAGAUAUGCAUUGCCCCCACGGUGCCAGAUAUGCAUUGCCCCCACGGUGCCAGAUAUACAUUGCCCCCACGGUGCCAGAUAUACAUUGCCCCCACGGUGCCAGAUAUACAUUGCCCCCACGGUGCCAGAUAUACAUUGCCCCCACGGUGCCAGAUAUACAUUGCCCCCACGGUGCCAGAUAUACAUUGCCCCACUGUGUCAGAUAUACAAUGCCCCACUGUGCCAGAUAAACAUUGCCCCACUGUGCCAGAUAAACAUUGCCCCACGGUGCCAGAUAUACAUUGCCCCCAUGGUGCCAGAUAUACAUUGCCCCCACGGUGCCAUAUAUACAUUGCCCCCACUGUGCCAGAUAUACAUUGCCCCCACUGUGCCAGAUAUACAUUGCCCCCACAGUGCCAGAUAUACAUUGCCCCCACUGUGCCAGAUAUACAUUGCCCCCACUGUGCCAGAUAUACAUUGCCCCCACUGUGCCAGAUAUACAUUGCCCCCACUGUGCCAGAUAUACAUUGCCCCCACUGUGCCAGAUGUACAUUGCCCCCACUGUGCCAGAUGUACAAUGCCCCCACUGUGCCAGAUGUACAAUGCCCCCACUGUGCCAGAUGUACAAUGCCCCCACUGUGCCAGAUGUACAAUGCCCCCACUGUGCCAGAUGUACAAUGCCCCCACGGUGCCAGAUAUACAUUGCCCCCACGGUGCCAGAUAUACAUUGCCCCACUGUGUCAGAUAUACAAUGCCCCACUGUGCCAGAUAAACAUUGCCCCACUGUGCCAGAUAAACAUUGCCCCACGGUGCCAGAUAUACAUUGCCCCCACGGUGCCAGAUAUACAUUGCCCCCACGGUGCCAUAUAUACAUUGCCCCACUGUGCCAGAUAUACAUUGCCCCCACUGUGCCAGAUAUACAUUGCCCCCACUGUGCCAGAUAUACAUUGCCCCCACUGUGCCAGAUGUACAUUGCCCCCACUGUGCCAGAUAUACAUUGCCCCCACUGUGCCAGAUGUACAUUGCCCCCACUGUGCCAGAUGUACAUUGCCCCCACUGUGCCAGAUGUACAAUGCCCCCACUGUGCCAGAUGUACAAUGCCCCCACUGUGCCAGAUGUACAAUGCCCCCACUGUGCCAGAUAUACAUUGCCCCCACUGUGCCAGAUAUACAUUGCCCCCACUGUGCCAGAAAUACAUUGCCCCACUGUGCCAGAUAUACAUUGCCCCACGGUGCCAGAUAUACAUUGCCCCACUGUGCCAGAUAUACAUUGCCCCACUGUGCCAGAUAUACAUUGCCCCCACUGUGCCAGAAAUACAUUGCCCCACUGUGCCAGAUAUACAUUGCCCUACUGUGAUCUCUCCCCCCCCCCCCCCCCCCCCCGUUCACCUUUGCCUCUUUUGUUUUGCAUGCCAUGUGAGGGGAGGACAGCGCAGCGCGCGCCUAUCCUGCCGUCACGAGCUCUGAUUGGCUAGAAAGCUGGUGCAUUAUUGAGAUCACCCCCCGCCGCCGCAGCCGCUGGAGCGGAGACCGGACAUCACCGAGUAUUGAGGGGUAGGAGAGGCGCUGCGCUCUCCUCCCCUCACACAGACGCCAGGGAAAUGCAGGUGCCAGCUGCUUCUGCAAACCCCGUACAGAGGUUUCCAUAUUCCCAAGCAAAAGAGCUCAUUCAGGAAUUCCUGACAGCCAAGCUA